rnacentral:rRNA from 1 species
GACGAACGCUGGCGGCGUGCUUAAUACAUGCAAGUCGAACGAAGUGGCGAACGGGUGAGUAACGCGUAAUCAACCUGCCCUUCAGAGGGGGACAACAGUUGGAAACGACUGCUAAUACCGCAUACUGUAGGAGGGGAUUGCGUCUGAUUAGCUAGUUGGGGGGGUAACGGUCCACCAAGGCGAUGAUCAGUAGCCGGUCUGAGGGGAUUAACGGCAACAUUGGGACUGAGGCACGGCCCAGAAUCCUACGGGAGGCAGCAGUGGGGAAUCUUUCGCAAUGGACGAAAGUCUGGCGGAGCAACGCCGGGUGAGUGAGGACGGCCUUCGGGUUGUAAAGCUCUGUUAAUCGGGACGCGGUACCGGAAUAGAAAGCCACGGCUAACUACGUGCCAGCCGCCGCGGUAAUUC